AGUAAAAGCUGGCAGAUGGCUGUAUCAUUAGAAUGUGGCCAGAGCCUUCUGAGAUGAGUUUUGGAAUUUUUAUCAAAGUGGGAAUUAGGUUCAGGAUAUACCAGUGGCACACAGCACACUGUGGGAGUGUAAAAUAAGAGGAAAUAGUUCACAACGAGUCAUCUUUUGGUUGGAUGAUUCAGGGGUCUGCUGUUGGUGGUCAAAAAGACACGUGGCUGACUACAGAGUCUUUGUAUGCUAUUCAGAAUGCAAUCUGUCUCUAAAAAUUAAUUCCACCAUUCUGAUUCUUGUCCAGUGAAUCAUUUCCAGAAAUGAAUAGCUGCAGUUGCUGGAAUGGAUAUUGUGAAAUUCCCUUCAUUUACAAUGGACGGGUUUUGAAAUGAUGAUUUAUCGGGCAAAUUUUUUCAGGAUUAGAAUUAAAAGUACUUUAAAAUAAGUAUAUAUGUCCUUGUGUAUUUUAAUAAGAGAGAUAGUAAAAGCCUCCCAGUUUCCGAACGAUGAAGGACCAUCUGAAAGAGCUAGUUCUUGGAGUAGUAGAUCUGUUGGCACUGGCUGGUGAUUUCCUGUGCAUUUCCUGCAAGAAAUGUUCUGUGAUUCGAAACAUGAGACUGUGAGCUAAGACAACUGGAAGCAGUGGACAUGGUGAAUAAGGAGGAUUUUCCUGAAUGUAUCUUUAACUAUUCAGAAGACAUAUGUGAGCAUGUGAACGUGGCUAGCAGAAGAAAGGUAGCCCUAGUGCAUGUUGCAUUCUGGCUUUGUUUUGUGCCUGAGAGGAGUUGAAUUCCUGAGCACUGGAGAAAAUCUAACCAUAUUUGCGAUGGCUCUGCUCAUGACAGUACAGUGGGGCAGGUGACUGCCAAGAAGGAACUGGGAGGCUCUGACUUUUCCAAGGCUCAAGAUUAUGCAAUGAAGAAGAAUAUUUUAGAAGCUAACGAGAGAGGUCAGAACAGCGUGGUCAGAAGUCUCUGGACUUUGGAAAUGGUUCUCCUGUUUGUAUCUUCUCCAUUCUCCAAAGAUCUGAGUCACCGCACAGGAUACAUCUGCCCUCUGGAGGUUGGCUCAGAAGAAAGAGAACCAAAUUUUCAAAGGGACCUCAGCUUGGUCUCUGAAAUUGUGGGUACAGUGCCAGGUGUCUGGGUUCUUGUGCUUACAAAAAAACAGCACUGUGAGAACAAACUGCUUUCUUGUGGGCAAAAACUCAGGGCUGAGACUUGUGCCUGCAUUCUUAGAGGCUGCUGUUGAAAAUGUGGCUUUUCAAAGAGAUACUUUCAUGGUUCAAAAAAAUCUUGAUUCCCAGAUAUCAAGAGGGGAAAGCUACCUAUCCCACUGUAAAGGCACAGAGGACCCUGACAAAAAUGGAACCGCACAGUUCCACUGUGCAGGUGGUGAGGGAGGAUGCUGGGAACUUACACAAAGAAGAGGAACAAAGCUGUGCCCCAGCCUCCAGGAAACUUGUGGGCAGGACGGAUCCUCUGGACGUUGUUUCCUACAGAGGGGCAUGCUUUAGCAGCAGAGGGUAUUGCUGUACUGAGGGUGCAGUGGUAUCCACAGAGCACUGCCCGUGGGUAGAGGGCAGAUUCUUUCUUGUCCUACACAUCUCCACAGAUCUCCCCAGUGCACCCAGCUACUCAGGCUGGUGGCUUUGUAAAGUAUUCUGCAUGAAGACCACAGGUAUACCUAGAAUUGCAGGACAGCAGCCAGCACAGCACAGUCCACAGCCCAGGUGAGCUCUUCACGUCUGAUUUUGAAUGCACACAUUUCACUCAGGAAGAUCUGGCUCUCGAUUAAAAAAACAACUCAAACCACCCUCCAUCAAAAUCAAUGACUGCAAGAAUCAGGGGGUAGCCGUGUUAGUCUGUAUCCACAAGAACAACAAAAUGCAUCUGAAGAAGUGUUUUUUUACUCUGGAAAGCUUAUGCCCAAAUAAAUCUGUUAGUCUGUAAGGUGCCUCCAGACUCCUUGUUGUUUUAAUGACUGCAAGAGCAUAUCAGAGAAUUGAGCAACAUGUGAAGGACAUGUUGUUUCCUUUAGGGUACUGACUAAAGGUUACGUCACUUGGAUACUUUGGAUGUUUGUGAGCACUACAGGACUUGGAAAGGGAAAGCAAAAAGGAAAAACACUGGGGAGGUGAACAAUUUGUUUUGUUUUAUGACUCUCUUAGUAGUUUAAUGAGGGAACGAUUACUCAUGCCCUGUCACUGCGGAUCUAGAAUAUUCCGCUGGGCUUAAAAACUGGCAAGAAAAAGUAGUUUCCUAAAAAACAAUGAAUUACCCAAAGGCCAUUACUCAGGAGUCCCUGGUGACUAGGAAGGGACAAAGUCUGACUUGUGCAAGAGUCAGGAUCUGUUUUAAAUACCCCCCCCCCGUACCCCCACUGCUCCCAUGACAGCCCUUUUCGGCAUCUUGGAUUUCAGGGGAAAUGAUUGAUUGGGCCAGCACCUUCUACCAAAUCCCUUCUCCCUGUUUCCCUCAAAAAUGAUAUGAGAGAGUGGGUGAGCCAGACAUUUCCUGAAGAGGUAGGAUCUGAGGACAAGUCUCCCACCCACGAAAGAUAAAACAAGAUAAAGCAUUUGGGGAGCUUAUGCCACAGGGUGGGUGAGAGACGGGGGGGACUCCAAGGCAAGAGAGAGAGAAGGGGUCAGAAAGAUUCAGUUCAAUUUUGGUGUAAAGAUUUGUUGGGGGAGGAAGGGCAAUGUUUUUUUUAUUCAGCUGGUUCGCACAUCUUUAAACCUACCCUGAGCUGCAUGACCCGCAUUUUAAACUUUCCACUGCUGCUUGAGCGUGCAGGUUCUUUUAGAAGUUUGCAACAAUGUAUCCUUUGCACUUGUAAUUCACAUCUGGUACACUAUGUCCACCUCUGUGCAGCAUACACACAACUUCCCUCUAUGCUGGAAGCCUGUUGCAAGUUUUUUGGGACUGGAAAACAGAUAUGCUGCCGUUACGUGUUGGAGCUUUACCGUGGAAUGUAAACAGAGGGCUUCUGUAAUACACAAACACAAACUAGGUGCAUUUCAUACCCAAAUCCCAAACAUUAUUACAGUAGAACCUCAGAGUUACGAACACCUCAGGAAUGGAAGUUGUUCGCAACUCUGAAACGUUCGUAACUCUGAACAAAUCGUUAUGGUUGUUCUUUCAAAAGUUUACCACUGAACAUUGGCUUAAAACAGCUUUGGAACUUUAUUAUGCAGAAGAAAGAUGCUGCUUUCAACCAUCUUAAUUUAAAUGAAACAAGCACAGAAAGUCUCCUGGCCUUGUCAAAUCUUUUUUUUAAACUUUCCCUUUAUUUUUUUUUUAAAAAGAGGACUUGUGGCACCUUAGAGACUAACCAAUUUAUUUGAGCAUAAGCUUUCGUGAGCUACAGCUCACUUCAUCGGAUGCAUUCCUUGAGAGUGUGUGGCACAAGCUGUCAGCAUAGUCUGUGUGGUAUGAAGAUUGUAAUGGAUUUUUUACGUGCGAUGAAGUGAGCUGUAGCCCACGAAAGCUUAUGCUCAAAUAAAUUUGUUAGUCUUUAAGGUGCCACAAGUCCUCCUUUUCUUUUUGCGGAUACAGACUAACACAGCUGCUGCUCUGAAACCUUUAUUUUUUAGUAAUUUAUGUUUAACACAGUACUGUACUGUAUUUGCUUUUCUUUUCUUUUUUUUCUUUUGUCUUUGCUGCUGCCUAACUGUAUACUUCUGAUUCCAAAUGAGCUGUGUGGUUGACUGGUCAGUUUGUAACUCUACUGUUCUACUGUACUACCAUGCUGGUAUUAGUUAUUGGGUUUCUUUUGCCUGCAGUGCAGAUCACCCAGGAGAGGAUGGGAAAAAAUGUGUCCAGCAUAAUACACAUCAAAAGUUUGAUAUAAUCAUUAAAAACUGAAAUUAACAAGGCACUCUAAGGGUGUUAUUGCUGUGUACAAUAUGUCCUGAAUUUACCCUACUAAAACUUUGUUCUAUUUCCAUGCUGUAUAGCCUGAAUCCUUUUUCCCUCUACCAUGUAAAUUACAGAAAUUACCUUUGGCAUUGUUAAAAUCAUUCUUUUUUUUUCUUUCUCAGCUUCAGUCCAGGAAGUUAUCAGUUUUUCAGGGAAAUCCAAGGGUAACGCUGCAAAGCUUCUGGCUUUUAAACUUAUGUCUGAGAGGUGCACAGCUGUGCCACUUGUGCCCCUUGAGUUUGGAAUUCACCCUCAUCCCGUAAAUUUAUGGUGCUGAUGUGGUUUUGAAUUUCUGCUUUCAAAAGCACUGAUGUUAGCUUAUGUCUUUGUGUUGGAUCUUUGCCCUUGGAUGUAGGACCCAAUGCCUGAGACAAAAAUACGGCAUUCUUGCUACAUACACUAUAAAAAGUGUUGAAUAUAAAGCGUGGAGUUUGAACUGGACCUGCCAUGGAUUGAUAAAGGUAUUUUGACAGUAGGAGUGAUGUGAACAGCAUCACUGAUUAUGCUGGAUCUAAAAAACUAAGAGGGAGACACUAGAAAAAGGAAGCAGUGCAUGUCGUGGUCAGUGCGGUGAACUGGGUAUCAGAACUUAUGAGUUUUAUUUCUGUCUGUGCUACUGUCUCACUUUUGGUUCAUUGGGCAGUAUAGUUAAGGUGUGGCUGGGCACCUAGUGUUGUAAUUGAAAUAACUGCAAGUUAUUAGCACCUCUGAAAAUGAGCACCUUAUCCUCUCUGGGGCAAAUAUUUACUUACCCCACACAUGGGCUGGGAGGCUUGAUUCAUUAAUGUCUGUAAAGUGCUUUGAGAUCCUCAACUGGACUGUGCUAUAUAUGUGCAAAGUAUUUUAUUAUUAUUUAUGUAUAAUUAUAUAAUUAAAUAUGUAAAUUAACUGUAUUAAAUAUCUACCUCAGAAGAGGUAGUUAAUGUUUGUGAGGUGCUUAGAGAUCUUUGGAAUAAGGGGUGUAAUUCAAAUAGAAAGAAAGUGAUGGUUACGAUGAGGCUUUCAUUACAGGAGAAGCCGAGGCAGUGCAGUGUAUAUAGCAUACUGCAAUUAAGAUCCCAAACUGUACACUAGUUGCAAGACAUCCUAUGAUCCUUUAUUCUUGAUAAGUAUAUCUCCCAACCCCUCACCGCCUCCUUUACCUACACCUUUGGUGUAAUGUACCCUGGCUGGUAGGAAGUGUUGUAGACCAGGGUGAUCUUCUUCCCUGCAGGUCUCACAUGCUGAACUGUACAUUUCUAUCCCAUAAUGUGCUAUCAACAGCCAUAGUUCAUACUGCUAGUUCAAUGUGUCCCAUUUGUUUAUUGUGUCACUAAAACAUUUUGGAUCUGAUGUUGCUGUUAAUUGUAAGAACAUUUGCAAAUCUGCCUUAGAUACAGUUAAACCUGCUCACAUGAGUAACUGAUGCAAGGCCAGGCAUAUAAUACAAGCCAAGUAUUGCUGUCACUUACACUUGUGCAGUUCCACUGGUUUCAACUGAGAGCAGAAGUUGGCCUGUUACGAUUUGGCCAUGGUCAGCACCCAGUUGCCAUAUGAGGGAAGAACAUCAUUUGCGAAGCCAUGUCUUAAAAAGAUUCCAAGUCAUAAGUCAUCUGUCUGUUUGUCCCUUUUUCUUUUUGCUGUAAAAAAAUUCAUGCCCUAAUAAAUAUUUCAGAUUUAAACUAUAACUUUUCCUGGGUAAAGACAAAUAAUGCUGAAGGGUGGGUAGAAAAACGAGACUGAGUGAAGAGGGACAAACAUCUCUAAAGUAACUUGGUUUAGUAAAAGAACUUGACAUUUAUAUUAUUGUGUUGGUUUUAGGGCUGUGCAAUGCUCCGAGGAAAUUUACGUGUAAAAUAAAUUGUCGUUGUAUUAUUCCAUCUCACACAGUACCUGAGAAACUCCAGAAGGUAGUUACUGGGGCUGGAUUGAAACCAGCAACCUACUACAGAGGUGCAAGACUCCAUAGUCCACGUGUAAAAAGAUAAAUUAGGGAAGGGUUUAUUUCCAAAUUGUUACCAAUAAUGGAGAGAGACAAAUAUGUAUUGAGUGCUUGAUACUAGGCCUGGCCUAGCAGACUGCUCUCCACCAUGUGGAGGACCCCUAGUUUAACACACAUGCUCCAUUUCCCUCGGGCUGGAAUGGGCUAGGAGAGCCCUUCAGGGAGAGAGUGCAUUGUGCUGCAGGUACCGUCUCUGCCCAAGGCUAGAACCUUUCUGACAAGUUGCACAGGCUCCAGGAAUCAAAGUGAUAGUCUGCUAGGCCUAGGCCUGUCAGGUUUGUGAAGAGUGAAAGGGGAAAAUAGUGUGGGGUAAAGAGGAGGGAGAGUCUAGGGCUCUGAAGAAUCUCCCUGUUUUCUUUCUACCAAAACACACAUCCAGAAGGGAGGGGCAAGGGAGAAAGGGACAAUGUCACAAGCUUUCCAACUGCCCAUGGCAUGCUGCGGCAGGCUCUUCUUGUGAGGCCCUUUCACUCAGAAUGCACUGGAAUAUCAAAAAACCCAAUAUCUUCCUUUUUAUUGAAAACAUUCUCUAGAACUCUUAUAUAAUAAACUCUGUUUACGCCAGCUGACAAGUCACCUGAUUGAACUCUGCGGGCUUCUGAUCUCAUUGUAUUUAACACUCAAUACGUUGUCAUCGUUCAGUGUAGCAAUGUUUGCUGAGUCAUGCAGUCAACAAAACUGUU